rnacentral:rRNA from 1 species
AUGGCGAUCACCGCUGCCGCGCUCCGCAGCACCGCGCCUCUACGCUUCUCCGCCCCACUCCGCUACGCCUUACUGCUCCGCGCCGCCGUCCCGCUACCCGGCGCCGCUCCGCUCCGCCGCGCGGCCCGUUUCCAUGCCGCCGCUCCGCCCCACGGCCCUCACCUACCGGGAUCCAAACGUUUCGGGCGUCCGAGGGAUUGCUACCGGGUCAGUGGGCCACCGGAGACGGACGAGGGUUCGCAGAAGACGGGUGUGACCUUUGAGGACCUGGAGAAAAUGGAUAAGGAGGCUCUGAUGGAGUAUAUUAAGCAGGUUACCGCUGAGAGCAACACUCUCCUGGAGGAAUAUUGCAAGUACGAUCCAUCCUACAUGGACACGAAGGACGAGACCUCGGAUCUGUCAGGACGGCUUGAUACAUCACGUCAGUGA